UACGGAGGGGGCAAGCGUUAUUCGGAAUUACUGGGCGUAAAGCGCGUGUAGGCGGAUCGGAAAGUCGGGCGUGAAAUCCCCAGGCUCAACCUGGGAACUGCACCCGAAACUCCCGGUCUUGAGUGGUGGAGAGGGAAGUGGAAUUCCUGGUGUAGAGGUGAAAUUCGUAGAUAUCAGGAGGAACACCAGUGGCGAAGGCGGCUUCCUGGACACCAACUGACGCUGAGACGCGAAAGCGUGGGGAGCAAACAGG
rnacentral:rRNA from 1 species